rnacentral:rRNA from 1 species
AACGAACGCUGGCGGCGCGCCUAAUACAUGCAAGUCGAGCGAGAAGGUGUAGCAAUACACUUGUAAAGCGGCGAACGGGUGAGGAAUGCAUGGGUAACCUACCCUCGAGUGGGGAAUAACUAGCCGAAAGGUUAGCUAAUACCGCAUACGUUUCCGGAACUUCGGUUUCGGAAAGAAAGCAAUACCGUGGGUAUUGCGCUCCUGGAUGGGCUCAUGUCCUAUCAGCUUGUUGGUGAGGUAACGGCUCACCAAGGCUUCGACGGGUAGCUGGUCUGAGAGGACGAUCAGCCACACUGGCACUGCGACACGGGCCAGACUCCUACGGGAGGCAGCAGUAAGGAAUAUUGCGCAAUGGACGAAAGUCUGACGCAGCGACGCCGCGUGGGGGAUGAAGGACUUCGGUUUGUAAAGCUCUGUUGUCAGGGAAUAAAAAAAUGAAUGUACCUGACGAGAAAGGACCGGCUAACUUCGUGCCAGCAGCCGCGGUAAU